rnacentral:rRNA from 1 species
AUGAACGCUGGCGGCGUGCCUAAUACAUGCAAGUCGAGCGAACGGACGAGAAGCUUGCUUUUCUGAUGUUAGCGGCGGACGGGUGAGUAACACGUGGAUAACCUACCUAUAAGACUGGGAUAACUUCGGGAAACCGGAGCUAAUACCGGAUAAUAUUUUGAACCGCAUGGUUCAAAAGUGAAAGACGGUCUUGCUGUCACUUAUAGAUGGAUCCGCGCUGCAUUAGCUAGUUGGUAAGGUAACGGCUUACCAAGGCAACGAUGCAUAGCCGACCUGAGAGGGUGAUCGGCCACACUGGAACUGAGACACGGUCCAGACUCCUACGGGAGGCAGCAGUAGGGAAUCUUCCGCAAUGGGCGAAAGCCUGACGGAGCAACGCCGCGUGAGUGAUGAAGGUCUUCGGAUCGUAAAACUCUGUUAUUAGGGAAGAACAUAUGUGUAAGUAACUGUGCACAUCUCGACGGUACCUAAUCAGAAAGCCACGGCUAACUACGUG